GAAAGUCGCUAGGGGAGCAUAUGCUGAGAUUGUAUCCGGCAGCCGCAGGCCGCCGGAUGCUAACCCUCAUUACCUGAACCGGAUAAUGCCGGCGUAGGGAAGCUGUAACGGGUAAGU
rfam:Firmicutes bacterium CAG:534 genomic scaffold, scf134